rnacentral:rRNA from 1 species
UACGUAGAAGACAAGUGUUAUUCAUCUUUAACAGGUUUAAAGGGUACCUAGACGGAAAAUCAAGCCUUAGUAGGGACUAAUUUUCUAGAGUUUUAUGUGAGAAGAUCGAAUUACCUGAAGAGCUUUAAAAUGCAUUGAUACAGGGAAGACGGGUAGCGGCGAAGGCAAUCUUCUAUGUAGAAACUGACGUUGAGGGACGAAGC